rnacentral:lncRNA from 1 species
CCACACUGACCUUACAAACUAUUAUCACCACCCACAACAAACCAGACACACCAUUGUUCCUCUUUAUCAUUAUAGGCUUACCUAAAAAAAAUGGUUCACUUCCUUAUAUAGUGUUGUGGGUGUUUCCAGUUUACACUACAGGGAAAUAUCAGAGUACUAUUUUAAAAAAAAAGAAAAAAAAACUAGCCCAACCAGUUGUCCCAAAUGCCAUGUCAGGAAUGUGGGAACGACUAUGGGGGAGGGGCUGGUUUAUACUGGAAAAAAGGGUGCUGUCUUUUCUGGAAAAUCUAGCUCAUGCUGUUAGCUGGGUUUCGGGAUACUAGUUGGUUUCUGGCUGGCAGAUCAUCAGGGGGAUGGUGGGAUCAGAUAGAUGAGUUCUGGGUCAUCGAGUGCCGCGGCAUAGCCCUGCAGAAAGCACACCAAAACAAACACAGCCAAAACCAUAAAAACAUUCUUGCCUUUACAGCUGAUGUAUGUUUUGAGAUUUACAUUGUUUUGAACACUGUUUGAUCUGUUUACUAGAAAAGGGUGACAAUGAUUUAAUUAAAACAACCUAAAAUUGUAUAUAAUUAAUAAAGCAUCUUUAGUAAUUGAUGUAUUAAAUGUGAAUGAAAGUCAGCAUGAAAGCUUGAAUCACUAUGUACAUAAAUAAUAUGAAUGACACCCUUUAAAAUGUGUAUCUUCAGCUGUGGUUAACUUACCUACAAUAAACUUUAUUUACUUGACAAGUACAUUUCCUGAUCUGUAUUUUUAAGCAAAUACUACACUUCAAACAUUUAGUUUGACUACUCUAAUUUACUUGUUUUUAUAU